AGAGGGAUAGCUGGGUCAAAUGGUGGUUCCAUUCCAGAUUUCCAAGGAAUCUCCAUACUGCUUUCCAUAUUGGCUGCACCAAUUUGCAGUCCUACCAGCAAU
rnacentral:pre_miRNA from 1 species